AGACGCUUUAUAACAGUGAUUUUUAGUAUCAGACAAGUUAGUUUUGCCGGCUUGGUUGUUCUUGUUAGAAACUUUUCAACAAUUUUAAAACUGAGUAUGGAACUUGCUAUCAUAAACGUGAAUAAUGAGGAUGACUUUGAAUCUCACAAAACUGCAACAGAUACCGACAAAGAAAGCAAACCACAACAAACUGGUCUUGAAAACGAAGCAGUUGAUCCGUGGGCACUGCCUGACUUUAAAAGAGCAGGCCCGAAAUGGCAAGAAUUGAAGACGGGCGGUAAAAUCAAGCUUGUUGUUCGAACUUUCAUCAAGAUUGUUUGCCUUCUUUGCCUUCUAUAUUUGUUCAUAUGCUCCCUAAACUUCCUCAGUUCUGCAUUUCGUCUACUUGGUGGCAAGACAGCCGGGAAAGUGUUCGCUGCCGACGGAAUUCUUUCCAAUCCAGUGGCUGGUUUAAUGAUAGGACUACUAGCAACUGUCCUAUUUCAAAGCUCAUCAACUACUACAUCGAUUGUCGUUGCAAUGGUUUCAUCAGGAAUACUGGAUGUUGAGCAAGCAAUUCCAAUCAUCAUGGGGGCGAAUAUUGGUACAUCUGUGACCAACACCAUAGUUUCCAUGGGUCAUGUGAAAGAGCGCGAUGAAUUUCGACGUGCCUUUGCAGGUGCCACAGUACAUGAUUUGUUUAACUGGUUAACAGUCCUUGUCCUACUACCAACUGAAGUUAUCUCAAAGCAUUUUUUCGGCUCAUCUUAUCUCUUCUACGCCUCAAAAUCCAUCACAGAUUCCAUGGGGAUUGAAAAUAAACAAGGAACUAAAGUGGAAUUUCUUAAGAAAAUAACCAAACCUUUCACUAAUGAAAUUAUUCAGAUAGACAAAAAAGUUAUCCAACGUAUUGCUGAGGGCAAAGAUGUUGGAGAUGGUGAAAGUCUAAUCAAGUACUGGUGUAAGACUGCCAAAGUUUUCAAUAGCACCUUGAAUAAAACUGUCAAAGUUGGAGUUGAGCCAUGCAAAUUUCUUUUUCAUGAUACAGGAUUGAAAGAUUCAUUGGUCGGCAUUAUCCUAUUAGUACUUUCAAUUGCAUUGCUUUGCUUCUGUUUAAUCUGUAUAGUUAAAUUAUUGCAUUCAAUGCUUCGAGGCAACUUAGCUAUGGUUGUUAAGAAGACUAUCAAUGCUGACUUUCCUGGACCAUUUAAAUAUUUGACAGGAUACUUUGCCAUCUUGGUUGGCACUGGCAUGACUAUGUUGGUGCAGUCCAGUUCCAUUUUCACAUCAGCCCUAACACCGUUGGUUGGAAUUGGUAUAGUGACAAUAGAGCGCAUCUUCCCAUUGACGCUAGGUGCAAACAUUGGUACCACUGGCACAGCUAUCCUAGCUUCCCUUGCCAGCUCAUCAAACUUUCAAGCAGCAUUGCAAAUAUCAUUGUGCCAUCUGUUGUUCAAUCUGUCUGGAAUUGCCAUUUGGUAUCCAAUACCCUUUAUGCGGAAUGUGCCUAUCAAAUGUGCAAAAAAACUUGGAGAUACUACAGCACAAUAUCGUUGGUUUGCAUUAGUUUAUCUUGUCAUAUGCUUCUUUAUCCUACCUGCUGUUGUGUUUGGUUUGUCAGUUGCUGGCACGUAUAUUCUACUUGGUGUUUUGGUUCCUAUUGGUACUUUGUUGCUCCUGGCUCUUAUAAUAAACCUUAUGCAAAACAAGAUGCCAUCCAGCUUACCAGGUCUACUAAGAACAUGGAAAUGGCUUCCUGAGUGUCUGCGUUCACUCAAGCCUUAUGACAAAGUGUUUGUGAAAAUCAUGGAGGUUUCCAAAGGUUGUUGUGUUUAAUACCAGGAAAUCUCAAACAUUCUUCAGGUAAGUUUGCUGUAUGAAUAAUUCAGUUUAAUCUCACCAUUCUCUGGGUGUCUGGUCUAAGUUGUUUCCAGGCUGUAAUAUGAGUUAGAGUGACAUCAUUUGAGAAAGCUUAGAAGAAAGGGUAAUAAAAAGAAACCUUGUCUUGACUUUAUUUCAAACCCCUCUUCCAACACGGACUGCAGUUUCGAUAUAUGCGACGAGUAUGUAUAUUAAAAGUCUUGAAGCCAUCUUCUAUGUAAUCUUACUCUUUCGGGCAUCACUAAAUUCUGGUGGGAUCGCGCGUGUCUUUUUUCGUUUUUUCUGAUAUAGUUUUUAUGAAUAUGAUACUACACGAAUGAAAUCUUGUAGCAUUAAUACCGGUUAUUUAUAUUAUGGUCACUGAUAUGUUGGAGCACGGAAUAAGUAGUUGCAACUUGCGAACAUGACUGUAUCAGAUACUGUAAGCCACUGCCCAACUCUCUAGUAUUUCACAUUACAUUUGUUGUAGCAAAUUCAUACUGCUCUUUUAUUCAUUCUUGACCUAUUGGCCUCGUUUUCUUUUUAGAUAAUUUCGUACACAUAGAGGUCGACAGAUUACCUGCCCUGCAUGUUUUAAUUGGUAAUAUAAUGGAAUAUAAAAGAAAUUUGUGCAGGGAACAUGACAUUCAUGUGCACCUCUCAGUCAAAAGUGAAUAAACAGUUUGCUGAAAUUACUCGUCGCUGUCUGUAUACUAUUGGCUGCGCUCAGUUUUCCGUAAUCUCUCGUAAUAUCAGGAGAAUAAUUGUAGUUGUGUAAAUUGUUAUAAUGUGCCGCGUCGAUGGGCAUUAAUGUUGUUUUAUUUGCAACCAUUCAGUGUUUAUCAUUGUUAUGUUGAAACCAAGGUUAUCGAAUAAUAUUACGGACGACUUGUCGUGAAUGCAAACGUUGUCCGAUAUUAUUGCAUGCGCGUUUGUGCAACCUUGACAACUGAAACAACGUUGCUUUGUAUAUUAUACAACUUGCAUGGGCGAACACAAUGUUCUCUUAUCUAAUAUUGAUAUAUUAGGGCUUAGAUAUAAAGAAAGUUCCAUUAUAUAUUUUGCAAUCUUUAUAACAAAGGUAGUUAUAACACUCAAGUCAAAGUGACCGUGUUGAUAGUUGUGAUUCCAUGCGUGGGAAACACCUGUGUAUCUGUGAAGGAUAAACAAAUCGUGCAGAUCACAAAUGUAGUUUUAAUAAUAUCAGAUUGUGGACGUGCUAGUAUGUUAAAGUUGCGCGCCGUUAAUUUUCGUAAUUAUUGUAAUACUGAAGACUUAACAGAAAGGUUUAGAAGAUAGAAAUCCAAUAUGUCUUACAUUUUGUCUUCGUUUUAGGUGUGGUUUGCUGUGUCUCAUUUGUCGCUUACAAAGUCGUGGUAAAAUAGAGAGAUGAGUUUUUUAAAAGCUCCAAAGCUAUAAAGCACCGACUAACCAGCACACAAAAGGAUGUUAGGGUCUCGCGCAUGGUACAGACACCUGUACAUGUCUAUAGUUUUCAUACAUGUCUAU
rnacentral:misc_RNA from 1 species